rnacentral:misc_RNA from 1 species
AAAUUAGCUAUGACCUUUAUUUAUAGAAUUCCUGUACUGAGUUAUUUACUGCCUAUCAGAGUAGCUUCUGGCGAAUUUCCAAUUGAUGAACAGAAGUUCUCAUGGUUGAGAAGAGUUUGCAGUAGUUGAUGUACAUUUUAUUUAAUUUUGUAUGAAUUUUAAUAUGAAUAUUGAUGUAAAGUUGUUAGGCUCAUUCUUAUAUUAAAAAAAAUUGAAUGAGUAGGGAUUACAUCCAUUCUCCAUCAUAAAGAACUGAUUUGAUGA